rnacentral:rRNA from 1 species
AUUGAACGCUGGCGGCAUGCUUUACACAUGCAAGUCGAACGGUAACAGGGUGCUUGCACCGCUGACGAGUGGCGAACGGGUGAGUAAUGCGUCGGAACGUGCCGAGUAGUGGGGGAUAACGCAGCGAAAGUUGUGCUAAUACCGCAUACGUACUGAGGUAGAAAGUGGGGGACCUUCGGGCCUCACGCUAUUCGAGCGGCCGACGUCUGAUUAGCUAGUAGGUGAGGUAAGAGCUCACCUAGGCGACGAUCAGUAGCGGGUCUGAGAGGAUGAUCCGCCACACUGGGACUGAGACACGGCCCAGACUCCUACGGGAGGCAGCAGUGGGGAAUUUUGGACAAUGGGCGCAAGCCUGAUCCAGCCAUGCCGCGUGUCUGAAGAAGGCCUUCGGGUUGUAAAGGACUUUUGUCGGGGAGGAAAUCCCUAGUGUUGAUAGCACUGGGGGAUGACAGUACCUGAAGAAUAAGCACCGGCUAACUACGUGCCAGCCGCCGCGGUAA